rnacentral:rRNA from 1 species
UACGGGAGGCAGCAGUGAGGAAUAUUGGUCAAUGGGCGAGAGCCUGAACCAGCCAAGUCGCGUGAAGGAAGAAGGAUCUAUGGUUCGUAAACUUCUUUUGCAGGGGAAUAAAGUGCAGGACGUGUCCUGUUUUGUAUGUACCCUGAGAAUAAGGAUCGGCUAACUCCGUGCCAGCAGCCGCGGUAAUACGGAGGAUCCGAGCGUUAUCCGGAUUUAUUGGGUUUAAAGGGUGCGUAGGUGGUUUGAUAAGUCAGCGGUGAAAGUUUGCAGCUUAACUGUAAAAAUGCCGUUGAAACUGUCGGACUUGAGUGUAAAUGAGGUGGGCGGAAUGCGUGGUGUAGCGGUGAAAUGCAUAGAUAUCACGCAGAACUCCGAUUGCGAAGGCAGCUUACUAAGCUACAACUGACACUGAAGCACGAAAGCGUGGGGAUCAAACAGGAUUAGAUACCCUGGUAGUCCACGCAGUAAACGAUGAUUACUAGCUGUUUGCGAUACACAGUAAGCGGCCCAGCGAAAGCGUUAAGUAAUCCAC